AAACGAUCUACCAUAAAUGCUGAAAAUCGAGGGAAACUCCCAUAUAACCAUCGCGGAGGUUCUAAAUCAUUCAUUCAAUAUAGUUACGAUGGUGAUGAUAUGGUAAGACUACGUGUUGAGUGUAUUCAAACACAAAAUCCAGAAGAGGCCAUCAAUGUAGUCGAAAUUGUAGAUACAGUUUGUGAUCAGGUUCUCAGUACUCGUUCGGGAUACAUUAGAGGACUUGGAAGUGGGCCAAAGCCAGUUAGGUCCACUUCUUCAGAUGCCACCUCCUCAAUCAGAUCAACUAACACCGCAUUACUUGAAAAAACUUGAAUCCACUCAAGAAGAGUUAGCAAACACCAAAGUUCAAUUAGCAAGCACCCAAGAUAAGUUAGCAUCAAUGAAAUCAAGACAAGAUAUGUUUGAACAAAUUCUUAACCGAUUGACACCUAGAACAUUAGAUUCCUUGAUCCAUGAUUCAUCUUCAGUUCCACCUCCUCCUCCUCAUUCUUAGACUUUGAUGUUGUGGAUUUUUGGAUAUGAACAUGAUGUUGUGAAGUUUAUUUCUUGUAUACUAUGAUGUUGUGGAUU